ACAUACCCGGUGCAAUAUAACCAAAUGUUGCUAAGGUUUUAGUGUAUAAAUCACUCUCAUCUUCACUAAGUAGUUUUGAAAUACCAAAGUCGCUUAGGUGGGCAACCAUAUCCUCAUCCAGCAAAACGUUACUAGGCUUUAGAUCACAGUGAAUCAUGGGCAAGGAGCAUCCAUAAUGGAGAUAUUCCAAUGCACAUGCCACAUCUAUCAUAAUGCUUAGUGUCUGCCUGAUGUCUAGGAAGUAGUUGUGCGAAUACAAAUACUUCUCAAGACUUUCAUCAGGCAUAUACUUGAGCACUAAAGCCUUAAAAUCAAGGUUGGAGCAACUAGUGAUGACUUUCACGAGAUUCCUAUGCUGAAGGUUGCGCAAAACUUCACAUUCUGUAUCAAAACUCUUGAAUGCCGCUUCAACUUGCAGAUUGAACACUUUAACUGCAAUGGAAGUCCCACUUCUGAGAACACCUUUGUAAACAGAGCCAAAACUUUCAGAACCAAUCAGAUUACUCUCGCUAACCAAACACAAUUUUUCAAGAUUUAAUUUUUCUCCGAUCCCACGGAAUCACUUUUAUAGUAGGAGGUUUGGGUCCUUUCUUUUGCUUCUAACCCUAAGAAGUUUCAACAUGCUAAUGUUGGCUGACUAGUAUUUUAAAUGAUCACAAUAUAUAGUACAAUUCAAAUCAGGCGUAUUUAGGAGGGGGUCACCGGGUUUACGUGAAGGGGUCACCAGGUUUACGUAAACCCAUGCUUCCCUCGUGAAAUUAUAUAUAGUAGUGUUAUAUUUUUUUAAUAAAUAUUUAAAUAUAGAUGUGUGAACCCACAUUUGAAGUAUAAUAUAAUGUUUUUCUUUCUAAAAUUGGAUAACGUCUCUGAUAUAAUUGGUUUGGAUUGAUAAAAAAUAAUUGUGUACCUAUAAUUUUAAAAUGGGAAAAAGGGUAAAAAAUGCCCUUAAACUAUGUGAAAGGAAUAAAAAUGUCAUCUGUUUAUAGUUUGGCUCAAAAAUACCCUUAUUGUCAAUACCUUGGCUCAAAAAUGCCCUUCCAGUCAAUACUUUGGUCCAGAAAUGCCCCUAUAGUUGCAAAUUGGGUAAAAAAUGCCCUUUUCCGAAUAAAUAGUAUUAUUAUUUUCUUUUUAAAUACAUCUCCUUCCUAAUUAAAAUAUUAUUAAAGAACACUAUUCUUGUUUUCUUUCUUCUAAAAUUAGUUUAACAAAUAAAAAUGUUGGAAAUAUUUCUUUUUCUUCUUAAUCUCACUUUAUCAAUUCAAAUAGAAUAACUUCAUGUACCCUUUCGACAUAUAAUAUAUGUCAUAUAUAUAUAUAAGAUCAUAGUAUAUGCAUCAUUAAUUUAUAUUUAUAUAAUGAUAAAAAAAUAAUGAUAAUAAAAUAAGAAAUAAUUUCAUUUUUUUUAAUUGAAGUAUGAUAAACAUUUGAUAAUUUGGAAAAAGAGCAUUUUUGACCCAUUAAAUAACAAUGAGGACAUUUUUGGAUAAAAUAUUGACGGCAAGAGCAUUUUUCGACCAAACUACAAAUGGAGGGCAUUUUUGUUCCUUUCGCAUAGUUUAAGGGCAUUUUUGAACCAAAGUAUUGAUGGUAAGGAUAUUUUUGAGCCAAACUAUAAACGGAGGUCAUUUUUGUUCCUUUCACAUAGUUUAAUUUUUGACCCUUUUCCCUUUUAAAUUUUUAAAGGUUUUCAGUGAUAAUAACAUAAAUGUUAAACCAAUCAAAUUUAUAUCUUAGAUCCACCUUUUCGUAAUAAUGCACCCAUGAUCUCAAAAUUCUGGAUACGCCUCUGUUGACAGCUCCGACCCUUAAUCAUGCACAAAACUAUUGACCAAUUUAAGUCAUCACAAUAAUCCUUUUCAUUUUCAUUUUCAUUUUGGUAAGACAAUAUUCUUUUCAUUUUCUUUUUUGGUAAAAUAUUUAUCUUUUUUCAUUUUUUGGUAAGACUAUCUUCUUUUCAUUAUACUUCUAAUAAUCUGGUCCAUCCUGACUUUAAUAAAUUAUUUUCCAUAAAUAGUAAAUCAUGAUACCUAUAAAUACAUAUCCCUCCAUACACAACAAAAUACACAUUUUUCUAUCAACUUUCUUCUUCUCUACUUCUUAAUUAACAUAUUAUUAUUCAAAUUCUCAUGGCCAAUAUGGUUCAUAAACUUUAAUCUCCAUUGUUAUGAUAUUUUUCAUAUUAAUGUCUACAAAUGAAACCUUUUCAGCAAGAACUCAUGGUACAAAAAUAUUUUCAAUUGAAAAAAACAAUUGGAAAAUUAGCAGCAGCAGUAUUGAUAAUAAUCGUCGUGUUCUGAAAAGUUCCAUUCCACCAUCCGGGCCGGGUCACAAGGGUCACAUGUCAACUCCACCACCUCUAGGCCAAAUGUUAUAACCUAUCGAUUGAAAUUGAAAUUUUCCUUGAAAGCUAAAGGCGGAAUUUAUAUUUAUAUCCAUUGAAAGAUUUAAUUUUGAUUUGUUGCGAUUAAUAAAACAAUAUUUCAUAUUAGUAAAAUUGGGAUUAAUAAACCAGUAUUUCAGAUUAGUAAUAUUGUGUUCAAGUUUCCUUUUGAAUUUUUAUUUCAUGAAUUGAUUGAUCUUCUAAAGAUAUAAUCUUUUUUUUUUCUUUUCAUGAAGUUAAAAAAAAGGAGAAAUUUAUUUUAUGAACCGUACAACAUGUCUAAUAAAAAAAAAGCGAUGUUCAUCGUAUUGAUAUACCAUAUCGACUAGUAAUGUAUUGAACUAGAUACAAUUUUUCAAGAUUUAAUUUUUCUCCGGUCCUAGGGAAUCACUUUUAUAGUAGGAGGUUUAGGUUAUUUCUUUUGCUUCUAACCCUAAAAAGUUUCAACAUGCUAAAUUUUUUUAUUUCGUUGGCUGACUAGUCUUUCUCCUAUUAAGAUAGAAACCCGAAGAAGAAUGUCAAAAAAGUUGUGUAAAUCCAAUUUGAUGAAAAUGAAAUAAUGUGAUUUAACAAGACAAUCAAAAACAUUGAAAGAAGGAAUAUAAAUCUGUUUCCUGAAUCAACAAAACAAAUUGAUUGAUAAAUACAUUUCCAAUAAAGAAAUAAAUUAUGAAAAUCUCAUAUUAAUAAUAAUGGUAAAAUCACUUUGUUUUGACUCAACUGAAGACUUGAUUAUUAGUAUAUCUAUUUCAGAAGCUUCUAGAGACCGCCGCUCUAGUCCAGCAUGGCGGUUCAAUAGAAAAACUUUUGUCAAUGAAUUAAACAACAUAGAAGUAUAAAAAAAACUGUAGAUUACAAACUCAAAUAUGUAGAAGUAAAACAAUUCCAUCACUCUCCAACUAUACAUUUUUAUUGAUCUCGUGUGCAAUUCUAACCUAAUCUAGUUAAUAUUUUGUAACGGACCCACGAGGUGCUAGUUUUAAACUCGAAGGAGGUUUUGUUUUGAAAUUCGCCUAUGGCAAAUUACUUCACAUCAGAAUGGGAGCAAAAAGUUAAGGAUUCUAUAACAGCGAGUUGAGGAUUAAACUAUAUAUUGAGAUGUCUUUUAGGUUAAAAUUACUUAAGGAAGCAAAAUUGUGAGGUCCACAAAAGUUGAACUUGCUUAGAGAAAUCGAACUAUAGCCGACAAUACCUUGACAUUAACAAAUCUCAUGUCAAAGUAGGGGCAAAAAUAAAGUUAGAACACUACACCAUUUUAGGCCUAGGGCCACACUAAUUCUGGACAACGCUUGUAAAGUGUUGCCUAAAAUAUUUUUGGGGACGCUUUCAAAGCGUAGCCCAAGUUUUUAACUUUUAGCUACACUUUAUAUUGGCAACAUUUAAAAAGUGUACUCUUUAAUGGUAUAAGCUACACUUUAUAAGUGUUGUUACAAUAUGAUAUAAUUAACAACAGCUAUUAACAUAUAUGGCUACACUUUUAAAGUGUCCUAUUUUAAUAAUUGUAAAAACAACACAUUAAAAGUGUGGCCUUAAAAUUUUCACUAAAAUUUUCCCUCCAACAUUAUUUUAAGUCUCCCUCCCAUUUUUAUUGGCCAAGAAAAAUAAUUCAUAAAACAUUAAUUUUAAGAAAAUACAUAAUACAUAUGUGAGAAAAACACGCGUGAGUUCUCUCUUUCUCGGAAUAACGUCUGAGCUAAAGAGUUGAAGAACUGAUCUGAAGAACUGAAGUCAAAGAACUGAUUUCGUCAAGCGUGUGUUCGAUUCUCUUCUCCGAUAACAAUUUCGUCAAGCGUGAGUUCGAUUCACUAUUCCAUAAGUACUAAAUAGUCUUCUUGUUAUUGAUUGAUUUUUUGUUUUGUGUUUAGAAGAGGAGAAUAAGAAGGAAUUGAUAAUUUUGGGGUUGUUGGCUAAGAACACGAUUUCAGACAGAACUGAAGCUAGGAACACGAUUUCAGACCGAACUGAAGAGCUCAACAGCUAAAGAUAUUCUCGCUGAAGGACACGAUUUACAUCAUAGUUCUCGCUGAAAAUAGGAUUUUGUUGGAAUAGGGUUUAUCAGGUAACAAAUUCUAUCUUUGAAAAGUCUAAAUUUUAGCUUUAGGGUUUUGAUAUGCUUGUGUUUUUUGUACAAUUUUUGGGAGUAUAGCUCAUAUUUUAGCUUCAUCAGUUGAUUUUUGAUGAUCAAGAUCUCAAAAAAUCUUUGCUUGAUUGAGACCUUUGGACUCGACUCAAUCUGUUCAUCGCGUCCUUGUUGUUGUACUUAUUAGUUUGAUUUCUUCUAGCAUUUGGCAAUGGAGGUAUAUUUUUGAUGUUCGUAGUGGAAUUAUGAUGAGAUUCAGUAAUUCUCGGAGAACUCUGAGGACUCUGAGGUUUUUCAGUUGGCUUUGAAGUACUUGAAGAUGUGCUUGUAGUAGUUGUAGUAGUAAUAGUAGUACUGCUACUUCCUGGCUCUAGUAGUUUAAAGACUGUUGAAAGUCUACUCUUUAUUGGCUCCUGCAACAUACAAUUCUUGGCUUUGAAGUACAUGAUCUUAGUGUUUGAUAGGAGCAAAAACUGAGAAAUGUACCUCAUUAGAGCUAACGUUGUCUUGUUUAGUAUCAUCUUCGUCUAUUACUUUCUUUUUGCGUUCCUUUUGUGAUUGAGAGCGUUGUCGAGUCUUGUGCCUGCAUGAAAGGGAAACAAAAUAACGUGAACAUGAAUGUCGAAUCACUUCAAUAGAGACUUAAGUGUGGGUUUAGAUGAUUUAGGCAAUGUAACAGGACAUGAAACUUUAUUGGCAAAGUCAUUAUUAUUGUUUUGUUAGUGUAGUGUGUUUUGCUGCAAUUUUGUAUUUUUCUUCUUGUUCUCCAAAAACAAGGCAGCCUUUGGGGUAUCCGAUGGGAGUUUGGAAAACAUUAUCAGUGAAAACAAAUGAAGAACUUAGCAUAACAAAUUAAACUAAGCUCAAGCUUGACAUAUUCUUCGAAAAUGGACUUGGGACCUAAUUCAAAUGCAAAAGCUAACUUUUGAGGUGCGGAUUGUCCAAGAUCAUAUGAAGAUGAUUUAACAACACUAAAACAGAAUUCAGACGUUUCAAGAAAACAAUAUUGGACGUAUAGACGAGUUCACUUACCUUCUCUUCUCAAGCUUUAAUGCUACCACAUGAUCCUCCUUAUAGACUACAGGCAGUUCCGAGAGUUCACAUGCCAACAGGCUUGUACUAAAGAACUGUAUUGAAACAUUUUCCGAAAUCAAGUGACAAAUUUCUCUGCUUGUCUUAGUUUAUUCUUAUUUGUUGGGAUUCUGUGAUAGUGUUUUAUGUUAGACGUCACGUUCUUCAUUCGUGCACCUCAAGUUGGAUGAGUGGAUCAAGACGUCAAGGUUUUAGAUUUCAUCUUGUAUCUCUAGUGCUUUCAUUUUAAAUCUUAUACUUGUGAGGAUCGAUUUUGUCCAGUUUUCUUUUGUUCCGCUUUCUCUUUUAUGUUUACUAUGUCUUUUAAGUUCUCUUUAACAGUUGGUUUUCAUAGGUUUGUUAAAUUUUUUUCAAAUAAAUGCAGAAUGAUGUAUCGAGUUCUUUCCCUGUUGUGGUUGCUUCAUUAACUCUGUUUUCGAAUCCCUUUGCAUCGUGUUAUAUAUGUGUUAGCUUCUAUUUUUUUUCUUUCAAUUUGAUCAUGAGUUGAGGAAACAUGUGUGAGUCAAUUUGUUGCAGCUUCUGAUUGUUUAAAUACCUUUGAGAUAGCAGGUCCUUUAGUGAGAAAAUGAGUCUGUUCAUUUGGUUUAUGAAGAAGUGCAGUAAUCUUGAUCUUAUUUGAAACUCAUUGUAUUCAUCAAGUUAGUUCUUUUGCUACCGUAGUAAAAAUAAUCAAUGCUUGUAUUUGUGAGCAAAUCGAUUUGUUCCUCUCUUUGUUAAAACUGGUGGUGUAAAUCGAAUGCAGGUAAUGGUAAAAAAAUGUGUUUAUUACGCUAAAAAUGAUCUCAUAUCUUUGUUCUUCAUUAGUAUAUAUGACACACUUUCCUGCUAAGAAAAUGCAACUGCUUCUUCCAAUUCAUGCAAGAAUGAAUUUUCAUACUAUAAUUAUAAGCUUUUACAUUGGUGAUAUAUAAACAUCAAUGACUGUGUUUUUAUUUGAGUAGAAAGACUGAGGAGCUUGAAUUGAAGAAGACGCAACAAGAAACCAAAGCUAUUGAAACUUCAAGGAAAGUUAUUCCAUCAAUGGUAUUUAUUUUCGAAAGCCAAAAGUUUGUCAUUUGAGUGGUUUACAAAUUAAUACUUAACCCUUUUGGUAAUUAUACUUCAUGUUAUGUUUAAGUGGCAGGAAAUGUGCAAGAAACAAUUAAUGAUAGCCAAUUCAGAUUUCAUGGAAAAUAUGGAGGUAUUCUAAUUAAUCAACCUAUAUGUAUGUUAUUGCCUUGCAUGUGGAAUUAGAUGCAACUCACACUUCCAUAAUUUCAUAUUAUGCUGUAACUCACAUUUGAGAUACACAACUCAAUCAUUUCUGAUGUCUCUAAUGUAAUCCAUCAAAAAUGCACUAUUUCCCCUCUAUAGUUCUCUGAGUUUUUAUUUCUAGCUAGUUAGGGUGAAGGGGAAAGGGAGAGGUGGGGCUGAAUUAUGUUUCAUUAGUGAGGAAGUAGAGAGAUUCAUGGUACUGUAAGAUAUGCAUGUUACCGUAGGAGUCGUGAUAUUUUUAGUACUAGUAAUUUCUGUCGACUGUUAAAUGUUAAUUGGGUGAUGAAUACAGAAAAAGUUUCUGAACAUUGUGUCUAAAAUGGAAGAAAAAGAUAACGUGAUCACAACAUUUAUGUUGUUGGCUAAACAAUUUGCUGAAGUUAAGAGAAAGGAAAUGGAACAAGGAAGUGAGAAACAGGGAGUACAAGCAGUAGAUGUAGCAAUGGAGAGAUCAAAUGAUCAAGGCAAGGAGCUAACAAUAAUUAAAUUAAAAAUUUGGUCCAAACACCACCCUCAGUCUCUUCUUCUACUGCCAUAGCUCCUCUUUCAUUGCUGCCUUACACUAAUAAUUUUCAUAACAACAACCUAGCAUUCCCUGUCAAGCCUGUCCCUGAAAGACGAAUAGUCACUGUUACUGUCUCCACCAUAUCUGGUGAAACAUGCUAUGAAGCUGGGAUAACAUGAUGAACUACUCAACUGGAAACAAGACAACAACUCUCAUCAACAUAAAUGAUGUCCCUCGUAACGUUGGUGAAGGAUUUCUCCAUGCCCGAACAUCAAGACAAACUAUAACCACAACAACUACCGUCACACCUCAUGUGAGUAUCAUGCAUCCUAUCUCCAUAUAUGUCUCAGUCUGCACUCAAUCUAAUUGAAUAUUUAUGUUCUUGAUAAUUGAAUGCCACUUUAAUUCUUUGUGUGUAUGUUACUCAAGAUGAGUAAAGCACAACAAGUUUUAGGUGAUAACAGGGAUAGCAAAGUUAGCAUCAGCAGGAAGGAGUACAAUCAUCAACAAGCAAGCAAAUAUUGUUCUUCUUAAGAAAUUUUUGUUUAACAGGUAACACUAUGCUCCACUUUCAAGUUCCAUACACAAUUUAUACCAACUAAAACCCCUGAGGACAGUGGAACAUUUAACACGACUGAAAUUUCAUUAACUACAUCUAAUAAAACACGAGAAAGAUGCCAAUCCAGUCCAUCUGAGUGUUUUUCGACUUUUUUUAACUAUUUAAUGUGUAACUGAAAGCUGCAAUCUGGAAUUAAUCUAGAUCUGGAACUGUAAUCUGCAAUCUGCAAUUUGACUGGUUAUUUAAACAAGUUUUUAGGAUUUGUUCUACCUAGGCACUAUAAACUGGUUAGUUUACUUAUUGGACGAGUAUCAUAUAAUUUUUAAAACGACUAAUAGUAGUUGACUGAGAGGACAAUGGUGUUUUAAUUCGGUUUUGAUUGAUUGUAUGUUUACAAGAAGUUUACAGAAUAUAAUGUGUCGAGCAACAUCUUUGCAAGGAGUCUUCUCUCGGCAUCACACAUACUCAUCUUUCCCCAUUCUUUCUUGCAGAACUGCCUGAUCGCACUAGUGCCUUGUAGCUACCAGUGACUAAGGAUAGCAAGUCCAAAGAAGAGAAUCACAAACUGCUGAAUGGAAAUUCGGGAGAUCCAGCAGAAUGGGUAUAGAGGUUUAUGCAUUUUCCAUCCUAGGGAUUAUAGCUUUUCUGUCACUAUUGUAUAAGUUUGAAUACAUUAUAUUUGAUUUUGUGAAAUAUAUUCAUUGCUAGAAUAUAUUGAACCAUUGUAAGAGUAUUUUUUGAACUAUUGUGUAAACAUAUUUAGAAUAUUGCUUUAUAAGUAUGUGUAUGUACACAAGACAUGGUAUCAUUUGAUGUUUAUUGCAAAUAUAUAUAUUUGAAUUACUUAUUAGCUAAUUUAAUGCUUGAGAUUAUUUAUUGCAAAACAAUAUUGGUGUUUUUUAAUUAGAAAUUGUGGCAUAUAAAUAUUUUAUAGCCUAAAUAAUAUUACCACACUUAAAAGUGUAGCCAAAGGAUUGUAAAUUGUUGAAUGCAGACGGGCAAGGACUACACUUCAAAGUGUUGUCAUACAUAAGAUAGAAAAGGCAACACUUUAAAAUUGUGGGCAAUAAGGAAGCAAAGGCCACGCUUGAAAGUGUAGUUGUAUGAGAUAGAAAUGUUGCUAUAUGAGGUACUGGAAAGCGUGGCCUUUUUGCCUUUUAGGCUACGCUUUUAAGUGUAGCUGAUAAGGCGACACUUCAAAAGUGUUGCCUAAACUCUAAGGUUACGCUCCCUUUGGGCACCCCUGGAAAAGUGUUGCUUAAAGUCCAAAAGUGUGGCCUUUUAUCAAAGGCCACACUUUUUCAUAGUUUAGGCCACACUUUUCUAGGGUGGCUGUAGGCCUAAAAUGUUGUAGUGGAAGGUAUAUAAGUGUGAGUGUUCAGAAUUAAAAUAUCAAGACAUUUUUUUUUGAGUUAAAAUUCAAGGGAGCAAAAUCUUGAGAUCCAAAAUUUUUGUGAUGACUCAAAGUUGAUCGAGUCAAAGCGGAUAAUACCUUGACUUUUGGGUUUGGACUAGUGACAAUUCCUAAUGAAUUGAAAUGUAACAAAAAAUGCAAAAAGGAAACCAAAAAGAACAACAAAAGCAUACCAGUAUAUAUAUAGUCCCACGAAUGGGGUCUGAAAAGGGUGAAAUCGCGACGAUAUGCAAAUUAAAGAAGAGAGAUUAAUGGCCUACUCCUGGGCUAGGAACAGACGUGAGAAUUCUAUUAAUAGUGUGUAAGUGACCCCUCUUGCUAGGUGUGGAAUUUGGGAUUGUGCCCUUAGGAAGGGAAAUUUGAUACAGUAAUCUCAUGUCCUCUAAAUUGGGAUUUUUCUUCAAUUCAUGCAAGUUUAAUACUAACUUUCUAUUGGCUUGUGUUGUGGAUGUAAUAAAAAGGGACAAAUAUCAAUAAUAAGAACAUGAAGAGGAAAUUAGUAGUACUAGAAGCUUUUGAAAAAUACAUUGUUGUAUGUGAUAUUUGGUUUUGUCAAGAAGGUGGUAGAAAGGGUGUGCUAUAAAGACUGUUUUCUAUGAUUUCUUGGUGCUAAAAAGGAGAAAGAAGAAAAAUGAGUAGUAGUAGGAGGAGGAGGAAAGGUGUAAAGGGGGACUAGUUUGGCCAGUGUUGAUUGAUUAUAAAUGUAUAUGAUUGUGAUGCUCAUGACAGAAGGUGGGCCAGCGAGAGUUGAUUAAAGAAAAAGACUUAUUAACUUGCAAGCUUCUAAAAAAUGGGUGCAUAUCACACACCUUAGUCGAAUCUCAUAUCAAAGUGAAAGAGAAAAUUAAAGUUACAAGCUUUAUAAAGCAUAACAUAAGUUCACAUGAUAUGCACACUUUUUUAGGCUUGAUGAUGGCAAUAACCCAAAGUAAAAAAUUGUGAGCUCUAUGGAGAAUUGAUAAUAAGGUUUUGGAUUUGAACUUUGUGAUCACAUAAUUUUUUCUGUUAGAGAGUAUUUUAUCUUUUUUUUUAAUCGGCAUAUUAGGUGUGAAUUCAGAUUAAACCUCGUGAGUUUCAGAUAUCAAAUGAUUUUUUUAAUAAAAGAAAAGGGUAAUAAAAGCAAGCGUGAUGGCUACGGAGAAGAGGAUUCAAGUUAGUUGGGCUACCUCAAAUUCCAAUGUUUUGGAAAUAGUUGCCUUCUUUAAUUUUAAUUUAAUGGACAAAAACACAUCUGAAUUAAGGUCCCUCUGAAUUAAUAUUAUUUUUUAGCGAGUUUUAUUUCUUAAUUAUCAGAUGUUUUUUUAAAUCUGAACUAUUACCAUCUAAGUAUUAAAACAUACCUCGAAUAUAACUGGAUCAACUAUCAAUUAUUCCAUUUUUCAAUCUGAAUUAUCACAAUCUACUCGAUUAGGGUGGUAUCUUUCACCAUCUAUUCAACGAAAGGCGGAAAAAAAAAAGUCUUACAAUUUAUUUUUAAUUUUUUUGGAAAAAGGAAUUAAAAGUCAACCACAGACGUUAAAUAAAGAAACUAUUAUCUUUUCAAAUAUUAAAAACAAGAAUGACAUGAAAGAUUAAAUACUCAUAUUGAAAUAGAAAAUAUAUACAAUAUAAUUGAAGAUAGUUGUCACGUUAAGUGACAAUCCAUAUGGCUUUAUAAUUAUUUUGUGUUGUUUUAUUUAAUUAAAUUCUCAUAUUCCAUAGACCAUUUUGACAGUCCAUUUAUAACAAUUUUAUCAUACUGUUGAUUAUUAUCUUAUACGUUUUCUAAUUUUGUCUUUUUAGGCGACAAGGAAGACAAAGAAUAACAACUUGUACCAUCUUUUUAGGUUUUAUUGUUGUCUAACAUCUGCAUUGAAAUUAUGACUAAUUAAUUUGAGUUCACGUCCGGCAAGACCUAAAUAAGAGGGGAAAAAAAUACUUUCUUUUAUGAUUUUUUUCAUUUUUGGGACUCAAACUCAAGAUCGAUUAAGGGUGAGGUGAUGUCGAGUUUUUAAAUAAUAUAUAGUAUAUAUAGUCUACACCUAAUAUCAUAAAUCGGCCUAGGAUUGUUGUGACAAGUACAAUAUUUGAACAAUUAUAAGAACUCCAUCCUCAUUCUAGAUUCAAAACCAAGACAUCUGAUUAAGGAAGAGUGACACAAUGUUGAGCGUUUACAUCAUGUGUAGUAUAGUGUACGUCUAAUAAUCAUAAAUUGGUCUAGAAUUGUUGUGACAAAGCACAUUAUUUGGAUAAUUAUAAGAGCUUAUAUUUAUAAUUUACUACGUUGAAAUGCUUCAAAAUCUUCGAACAAAAUAAUUCAACUUAUUUUUUUUGGUCAUGGUGUCUUAAAUAAUGAGUUGAAUUUUGACAUUGAAAUUGAAAAAAAGUCCUAGAAAAAGUGAAGUUUGCUAAGAAGAAAUUGUACACUUGGACCAUUGAAUCAAUUCACCACUUCAUAUGUGUUUUGAAAAUCAUUAUAUGACAAUUUAGAGAAAAGGUGGGAGACGUGAGAGAGAAAGAGAAGGUAAGCUCCUUCAUAUUUAUUUAGUGGUUUCGAGUAUGAAUUUUGGGAAUGAAAUCACCUUUAAAAGAGAUAAGAGCCGUAGGUCGGAUGCUAGAUUCACAAUACUAAGUUCUGCGUCCACUAUCGUCUUGAGGCUAGAGGAGUUUUAAGGUACGUAUGACCCUCAAUGUAAAACUAGGUUAAACUGUUAGGGAGAACACACUUUAUUUACUUAAUUAUUCUUCAACACGUCCCCUCAUUCACAUAUUGGACGUUCCAAUUCUUUUAUUUAUUAGCCGAGACUUGAACCUAGGGCCUCAACCUAGUCUCAUACAAUGUUGAAAUUGUGCGAUCCAGAAGUCAUAAAUUUCAUUGAGGUAGUUCAAUGGUUAAUUUAUGUGAUACUAAUAUCAUAUCAUAUCAUCAUAUUAUGCUAUAAGUGGGAAGAAUUUUAGGAAAAAGUUAGAUUACUAUUUUACCCUUACACUAAAUCAUAAUCUAAUUAAUCAAAUAUUAGUAAAAUAAAUUUCUAAUUUAUUAUAUAGUCUUAAUUACUCUUAAUUUAAAAGUUAAAAAAGUUAAAAAGAUAAUUACAUUUAAUAUAUAUAUAUAUAUAUAUUUAUUUUAUAAGCCAACAAGAAAAGGACCAACACUGCAAUACUGAAUUGUACAUCAGGUUGUAUGAAUUGUACUGUUUAUUUAGGCUAUUACACACUUCUCUUUGCCAAAAAAAUAAGCUAAUAAGAGUUGUACAAACAGCUGUAUGUGCUUGUACAAGAGACUUUAAUAAUUAUACUUUAUAGACAACAAGUACAUAAAGCCACGUGUAGGCACAGAAACAUGUAUCUUGCCAUUACUCACUCAUCCUCCACCUUAACCAAAUUUCCUCUGAAGUUUGUCUUUUUUUUUUUUUGGAGCAACUUCAAGCUCUCUGUUUCUGCCAAAUGAUGAAGUAGGGGAAAAGACAUCAAAAGUCAUGGUUAGUCCUUCUACUUUCUUUAUUUUUGCCAAAUUUUGCUUCAUUUAUUUGAAUUAUCUCAUUCAAGCUUCUUUAUGGGAUUUUGCCGGAAAGUUCCAGCUAAUGAGCAUAUUAUUUCUUAUUUUUCGGUUUAGAUCUAAUUUAUCAAUGAUUGUUUUAUUUAAGUAUUUUAUUUCUUCAAAAAUAAUUGGGACGUUUUCUUAGAUGUUGUAUUUCUCUCCCUGUUUAUUUAUUUAUUCAUUUGUUGGUUCUUAAUUUGUUCAUUGGUAAGCAUUCCAAUUCGACCUUUUUCUAUUUUGUUUGUAAUUUCUUGUGUUUUUGUGUAAUUUUUUCUUACCUGAUGUAAUCCGUUCCCGACAUGCAUAUUCUGAUUUUUUUUCCUUCUUAAGAAGUUUGCUCUGAAACAACGAGGUAAUUCAUUUCUUCCCUUUUUUGUACUUUUUCAUCCAAGUUCUUUGGUGAUGUGACAUUGAAGUAAAUAAAGUGACUAUUACGAAGUAAGUUGCACACCUUAAGUGUUUGAUGAUAUGCCAGAGUCAAUUGAAUAAUUAUUGUUUUUCUUUUUUAUCACAGAUGUUCUUCAAGAUUCUCAUCUACAAGGUACAAUAUUUACUUCUAAUGAACUACAUUUGUCUUCAAUAUAUGUGUGGUAUUAUCAUUAUGAUCCUCCAAUACUUAUAUGUUUUUGCAGAAAUCCCGAUCCCCUAUAUAAUAAUGAUAAUAAGAGAAUGUGAAAUCAAACAGUGUGACACUUAUUCUUUGGAUGAUUUGGUGUAUUUUGAUUUGCAUUGAAUGUUAAUAAAAGUGUACAGUGUACUACCAUUUUACGUUCUUGAGAAUUACUGUUAUCUCCUGUAUUCAGGUUAGUCAAAUAUACAAAAACAGAAAAUAGAUGAAAUUGACAGAAUGCUUUUAAUCCGAGUCCACAGAAAUUACUGUGUUUCCUUAAAAAAUUUAAUCCAGAUUAAUUCCUCCCAAGAUUAAACGGAUUAACCUGUUAGAGAAGUAGUGGUACCUCAAACUUUAAUAACUUCAGCGAACGCAAAAACAACAACAAGAUCAGAAGGCAACAUAGUUGGGAUGGUAAAAUGACUGAGGAGUUUGUUCCAAGGCACCUACCGAUGCGACAGGCAAAGCAAAACCAUUUGACAGUAUCAAUAGGUUCAACUAGAUCCAAUAAAUCCAUAAAGAAGAUAUGAAUCAUCAAGUGUUGUUGGAUAGGUUUGAAGAAGAAGACAAGAGAAAAAUACUUCAAGUUACUUUUGAUGGACAAUCAAUCUUUUUUAAUUCAUACUUUAGUAAUAGAAAGUUUGAGGUUGAUAACUCAACUUUCUUCUUGAUUGACAUAUUUUUACAUUAUUUAAGCAUCCUCAUUUGUAAUAUCAUCAUGGAGUGUAUUAUAAACUCUGUGAUGAUCAGAAAAUACUUAGUUUUCUCUAGCUUUUAUUUUCUUCAUGCUUGUUAGGUAGCAGAAGUUAGGUACUUCAUUAGGAUUAGUAAGGUAAGGCCUAGCCCCCCUUGCUUGUACUUGUCCCUAUUGAUAUUUUUUAUGUUUAAUAAAAGACCGCUAGACACUGUCUAAUGGUAAAUUUGUUUUUAGAAAAAAAAAAAAAAAAAAAAAAAAAAAAAAAAAGAGAGCCAGGAUUCUAGUUUUGAGAGAGCAAAAACAAAAAUAAUGGCAAAAUAAGCAUAGAGAAGAAAGAGAGGAAAAAUUUUCAGUGUUUGAAAAACGGAAAAAACCUCUUAUUUAUAGCCUUUUACAGCAAGGAACGCGUCUGUCCAGACCCAUUUUUUCCAGACCGUUGUCUUUUUGGGAAAAGUAACGACUUUUCGGAAGGAACAAAUCCUUUCAAACGAAUUUACCGUUACGUGCGAAUUUCAAAUAAUUCGUUAUGAAAUUAAUUCUGUUGUUUAACUAACAUUCUGAAUUAAUUUAUAAGAGAAAGAAAAUCAGUUAAUAAGAUUGAUUAAAUAAAUUUUGUCCAAAAAUAUUAUUAAUCAAUCACAUCAUUUGCCAAAUCCAAAUCCGAAGCCGAGCGAGCGACGGCGCGAGGGUGCACCUUCUUCUUAACCCUUUAAGAACUAAAGGAAGUGUUUCCUAAUAUAAUCACAACAAUUUCCUUUCUUCUACCAAUAUGGUAAAAAUGACUUUUCAUUUGGACUUUGCAAUGACUUUUCAUUUUCCCUCCAAAAUUGGUUCCCCCACUUUCCAUUUUUUCUUCUUAUUUUCCAUUCACACCUUGCUAAACCCAACAAUUACUUCAAUAGUUACCGUAAAAUUAUAGAGAUGCCAGUACAUAAGGCACCAAUUAGGACUUUAAGUUGUAAGAUUCUUCUCGAGUGUAAUAACUACACCACAUGUUGUAAGUAAGAAUGUCAACUUAAUUUAAAUUGAAUGAACUUCUACCACCUUGGUGUGCUACUAGCAUAAAAAAUCUCGGAUAAUUUGGCUGGAAACCUUACGAGAUGUGAGCACCCAGAGUUUUUGAAUCUUGGCUUGGCAAGCUCUUUACCCCCCCCCCCCCCCCUCUCAUGCUCAUAUCUCUAGGAUGUAGUUGAAGAUUCACAAAAUAAUUUUCGAGUUUCAGUUUCACUAAUUCAGAAGAAUGACAAUGAAGGCCUGUUAUGUGUACUUCUCUUAUUUAGUCAAACUCUUAAAAUGAUACAAAUAAAUCAAUAAAAGGACAAUGUAAAUGAGAUACGUGGUGGUUGGACUUUGUUAACAUAGAGCGAGUUCCACAAUUCCUUCCACUUUGAGAUCCUUGUAACCAAUCGUAUGGUGUAAAUGAUUUUCCAAUAUUUGAUAAGUACCAUCAGAUUGAAAACUAAAAUUCUGCAUAAAUAGCAAUUGAGAGAAUGAAAACUCAUGAAAAUGGAGAGAAAAGAGGAAGAACGACACUGCAAGAAAGUAACACAAAAAAAUAAAAAUAAACUACAAGAAAACACUGAUCAAAAAGGAAAGGGAAAGAAUAAGUAUCCACCAAAGAUAGUACAAAAACAGGCAUAGAACAGUGAGGAAGCACAAAUAUAUUUAAAGUUUUGAUGAAAAUUUAUAAAGAAGAGGCUGAAGUUUGGUAGGUAUAGGAUGAAUUUUAUAUGCAUAUGCAGCCAAGUUAUUUAAUGAAGGCCCGUGCUAUGUAUCCUUUUGUGCUAAUUACUAAUGUAGUUUAAAAUUGUUGCUUUAUUUUAGCAGAUAACUAAAUGAGAGUUGACAUGACAAGAUGACCAGAAAGAAACAAGUUAGUCCUACAUGGCUUUAGUGAAAUGAACACUGUCCCAGUUAAUGUACUGAGAAGGGUCAGGACAAGAGAAGAGAACUGAAACGUUGAACACGUGAAAGUCAAUAUUUGUCUGUUUCAUGUUGAUUUCAAUUUCACGUUUUAUACAGAAGUAAUUUGUGAUAACAGUGAGACAAUAUUUGAAUAUGAUCACGUUACUACUGAGGGAUAAACUUGAGAAAACUAUAUAAUCUAUGUGACGCUUUCAAGAAUGUAUCUGCAACCAGAUUCUUGGAGUCCCUUAUAUACUACUUUGGUUAAAGAUGCUCCAUUAUGUUAAUAUUAUUGAUCAUGUCCUGCAGAUCUCUACCUCUUUACUGUUAGUAUUAGGGUCCUCUCCCUCUUCUAGUGAAUUUUUUUUGUUCUCUUUGCUUUUCAUGCUUUCAAUGUUAGAUCUGUCUGAUGUUUUUGCUGAUUGUCUGUGAUAGUGGUAAGGAUACUUUUUUUCACUUUCAAUGUUGCAUCUGUCUAUUUCAAUUUCUAUAUGGUAUAACAAGAAUUAAUGCAUGUCACUCUAUUAUUUGUUAAGUCUAUUUUUUUUUUUAUAUCAUGUUCAAUUUCAAACAGAAACUUGCUAUAGGUUAGACCAUCAUACUUUUUGCUGGCGGACUUCACCAAUUACUGUUUUGAAGGUGAUGAAGUCAGUUUUUCUACGAUUUUCAUUAAAGAAAGAGUUGCUUCUUAUGUUUAAUUAAUUUGACCCUUGCUUUGCAGUUGAUGGCUUGAGGACAAAUACAGAAUAUUUUGGAUACAAUAUUGCAUCAACAUCCAUCUGUUAUUCAAUGAUUUGAAAAAGUCGUUCAAGAUUUUAGCAAGGAAGACAAAGCUCGCCUUCUUCACUCAUCGUCUAACAAAUCUGUCUACUUCUCCAAGUGUCGUUAAAAGGAUUUACUUCCCUGCAAGGAGUAUUCAGGUUUCAAAUCCAAAAAGUUUAUGCUAGACCUGUUCACUUGCCUUAAGCACAUUCAUGGUAAUUAUUUUAUCAUCUGAAAGUGAACUAUGAUUAUCCAAAAAUAAAUUUUGAUUGUCCUCCUGAUGCUGAAGAAUUUUCUCAGUCAUGUUGUUCCUCUCUAAGUUACUUAACUUUUUUUCAUUUUUGUUAUCAUCCUAAUUUACUUUUAUUACUAAAGAUACCAAUAGAAGUCUUCGUUCCUUCCUCUGUCCAAAUUACUUCUCCUGCUUUUCUUUUUAUGUGCAUCCUAACUUUACUAUAGAUGAAUUGACAUUUUCCCUUGUAUUAUGCUGCAUAUUUAAUUUGUAGUACGUAUAAUUUUUCGACGAAUAUAUGUGGCUACGCCAUUGAUCUGAGUGGAUAGUAGUUUCUUCUGAACCAGUAUUUUGUUUUUGGAAGCUCUAUCAUUUAGAUUUGUGGAUGAGAGUGACAUUUGACUCUCUCCAUUUGUUUUGUUUUGUUUUCUAGAUUCUGAAAUGAAGAAAGAGGAGAAAAGGAAAUGAGGACUUUAUGAACAGGGGCUAUAAAUUAGAAGUAGUCCUAAUCAUUUAUCUUUGUUGAAACAUGUGAAGUAUGUAUUUAUGGUGGGCAUGAUUACAAUACUUGAGAGAUUGAAAUGGUACGUAAAACGUAAUUAUAAAAGUUGGAGUCUCAAGAGACAUGAAAAUUUGAAAGGUCAAUUACUAUUAAAAUAAAUAUAAAAAGAUAGAGCAUAAAUUUAAUUCAUUAACUUUUAAAAUUAAAUUAAUAGACUUCUAAACAAUAUGCAUUGAAUCUUAUUGUAGAAAGUUAUUCCAUAUUCCCAAAUUUAUUGAAAAUUUCAAAUUCUUAAUUAUUAGUUCAAUUAAAAUGUUUAAUUCCUCUCAUCUUUCAUAUAAUUAAAUAUCAUGUCUUUUCAUAUACUUUAUAGGAUUUUAUAAAUUUGGACAGAAAAAUUUAUACUAUUCAAUCACAUAGUCAAAUGCUCUAUAAAACUCAAAGUAAAAAUCAUCUUAUUAGUUUGUAUUCACAACUUACGCAACUUCUACAAGCUUUUCAUCAUCAUGUAUUCAUCACUCAUUUUCUAUUUUUGGGUUUCAAUUACAAAACAAUAUUGAGUUUUGGGUUUAAGAAUUAUAUUGCUUCAUCGUGAGAAUGUUGGAGGCAAAACACAUUAUGGUCCUUUUUUCGAUUUUGAAAAUACCUUUAUUUGAGUAUGAGGAACAGGCCGAAAAUAUUACAUAAUUUAUGUUUAAAUAUUCUUAAUUAUUUUUGAUUUAUAUGAAGCAACUUCUUUCAAUGUGGGUUGUAUCAUUAUUUGUGUCUUUUUUACUAAUGUUCCUUAGUUAUCUUGCUCAAAAGAUCCUUCUUUUUGUGUGUAUAUAUAUAUUUGCACUUUAUUUACUGAUUUUGUAUUUUAUUGAUAAGUUUUUUUGGGGUUUGCAAUUAUUUUCGUCUUUUAAUAGAUUUUUGGUGAUGAUCUCUUAUAUAAAAUGAAUAGAAAAUAUUAGUCCACUUCACUUUUGUGUUUCAUCAUCUUAUAAUUCUUAUACAUUUAUGUAAAAUCAAUAUGUUGGUCAUUUUUCCCUGAUUAACAUGGUAAAUAUAUAUUUAAUCUUUGUCUUUAUUAAUUUUGUUAUAUAUGUUGUUAACGUCCAUUUCGUAAAUUUAGAGUAAGAGUUCAUCACUAUAUCACAUACUAUAUGCUAUAUUAUCGUAAUUAGUUUUAUAUUUUUCAAUAUUUUUCAUUUUGCAGACAAAUAACCAAAAUUAAAUUAAGAGAAUUAAUUGACAUUGUUAUAUUUGCACAGAACAACAUAUGCAAAAGAAUAGUGUAAUUGAUAAUUAUCAACGUUAAAUUAGACCUAUACAAAUUUGUAUGACAGUAAAGAAUAAACGUGCAACGCACGUUUUCAGAACUAGUUGACAUAUACACCGGUAUAAUUUCAGCGAGGGAUGAUCAAAUGGCAUAAGAGUUUGUUUUUUAAAAAUAAAAUAAAAUAAAAUUGGGAGUAGGGGAUUACAAGUUGCGGAAUUGAAUUGGUACCUUACCAACAAGGUGAAAGUUCAAGUAGUCAACUAACUGAGCUACUAAGGUUCCAUGCUAUAAGAGUGUGACACCGUGUGUAAGUCGGUUUAAGUUAACAGAGAUUUGGAAAACAUAUAUAGUUUGUUAUUUGCCUUUCUCGAUUAUAUUAAAUAUGUGCUUACUCUACUUUGAGACAACAUAAAAGAAGAUACACAUCUUAGAUUUAUUUGUUGAUAAUCAAGCCACCCUCGGAUUCUUCCCUAUUGAUAUUAAUGAGGUGGGCGGAAAGGAUAAUGCCUAAUAUAUGGAUACAUAUAUUUCCCUCUAACCAUUCUGAGUUGACACUCACAAGUGAACAAAGAGGUGGAUCAUUUGAUCUUGAAUUAUGUCGUCUCAGUUAUCCAGAUCUUUCUAUCUCUAUUCAUUUUGUCAGGUACUUGAAUCAUAUGAUUUUGAGGAAUUUGCUUUCAACAUUCAUUUUACUGGACCAAAACGAGACCUUUCCGUGCUAGUUGUCAGUUUGAUAUCCAAGUGUUGAAAUCACUCAUUUUAGAUAAGUAGAUAAAUUUGACUUGAGCAAGUGUGGAAGGGAAAUUGUGAGAUUUAUUGAAACCAACCAGUAUUCCAAAACAGAAUCAUGCACAAAUCAAGUGACUAAAAAAAAAAACCAAUCCUUACAUGAAUCCAACAAUUUAGUAAACAUUUGCAACAAAUAAGUGAUUCCGAGAACAUUGCUCAGCAUGCAAGAAGUUGAAUCUUGAUCUUUUGUAGCAUCCCUACAACAUCUUUCAUGUUUGUCCUUCUUGCCGCAGAUUCAGCACAACAAUCUAAUGCCACUUUCAUGAUUGAUGCCACGAUAUCUAACUCCUUCUGUAAGCAAUUAUCCAUUGAUGUUAUCAAGUUGGCAUCUACAACAUCCAUUACUGCCUCUGGGAAUGAAUAACUCACCCAUUGCUUCAAGCUAAGAUCUCCCUCAAACUCAUUAGGCUUUUUCCUAGUAAACGUCUCUAGCAACAUGAUCCCAUAACUAUAGACAUCACAUUUUAUAGACACCAAUCCAUCCAGUCCAUACUCUAUAAACAAACAAUUCAUUUGAAGAUUUAACAUAAUUUCUUGGUGAAAAAGAAAAAGAAAGGAAAAGUCAAACAAAACAAAUUAAGAGACGUACCUGGUGCAAUAUAACCCAAUGUUGCUAAGGUUUUAGUGUAUAAAUCACUCUCAUCUUCACCAAGCAGUUUUGAAAUACCAAAGUCGCUUAGGUGGGCAACCAUAUCCUUAUCCAGCAAGACGUUACUAGGCUUCAGGUCACAAUGAAUCACCGGAGAGGAGCAUCCAUGAUGAAGAUAUUCCAACGCGCAUGCUACAUCUAUCAUAAUGCUAAGUCUCUGCCUAAUGUCUAGGAAGUAGUUGUUUGAAUACAAAUACUUGUCAAGACUUCCAUUAGGCAUAAACUCGAGCACUAAAGCCUUAAAAUCAAGGUUGGAACAACUAGUGAUGACUUUCACGAGAUUCCUAUGGCGAAGGCAGCGCAAAACUUCACAUUCUGUAUCAAAACUCUUGAAUGCCGCUUCCCGUUGCAAAUUGAACACUUUAACUGCAAUAUGAGUUCCACUUCUGAGAAUGCCUUUGUAGACAGAGCCAAAACUUCCAGAACCAAUCAGAUUACUCUCGCUAAGCGAAUCAGUUGCUUGGAGCAGUUCAUAGUAUGAAAAUUCUUUCUGUUGUUGCCAUAGACAAUGAACCAGUUUGUUGAGGAGCUCGUUUACCUCUUCUAUACCUUAUCCAUAGGAAUAGGAAGGCGAUAGGAACAAAUACAAGUGUUAUUCCUAGCAAAAGAAAUAGAACUAGCAAUUUUGUCCUAUUUGAUCUAUGCGUUGAUGAAGUGGGGCAUGUGGGGACAUUAAACCUUGACAAACCACACAAUGCUUCGUUGUUGAUGAAAAAUUUACUCGAUAGGCUCUUGAAAGGACCCCCCGAGGGUAUUUCACCGUGCAACUUGUUGNNNNNNNNNNNNNNNNNNNNNNNNNNNNNNNNNNNNNNNNNNNNNNNNNNNNNNNNNNNNNNNNNNNNNNNNNNNNNNNNNNNNNNNNNNNNNNNNNNNNNNNNNNNNNNNNNNNNNNNNNNNNNNNNNNNNNNNNNNNNNNNNNNNNNNNNNNNNNNNNNNNNNNNNNNNNNNNNNNNNNNNNNNNNNNNNNNNNNNNNNNNNNNNNNNNNNNNNNNNNNNNNNNNNNNNNNNNNNNNNNNNNNNNNNNNNNNNNNNNNNNNNNNNNNNNNNNNNNNNNNNNNNNNNNNNNNNNNNNNNNNNNNNNNNNNNNNNNNNNNNNNNNNNNNNNNNNNNNNNNNNNNNNNNNNNNNNNNNNNNNNNGGGACAUUAAACCUUGACAAACCACACAAUGCUUCGUUGUUGAUGAAAAAUUGACUCGAGAGGUUCUUGAAAGGACCCCCCGAUGGUAUUUCACCAUGCAACUUAUUGUCAGAAACAUUAAAAUACUUGAGGUAUUGAAGUUUCUCCAAAGACAUGGGAAUAGUUCCCGAUAUAUUAUUAUGAGAAAUGUCUAGAAAUUCCAAACCUACCAUGUUGCUCAUUGAGUCAGGUAUAGAUCCUUGCAACUUGUUGUGUCUCAAAGUAAAGUUCUCUAGAUUUAGCAAUCCUCCAAUUUCUAUAGGAAUACCAUUUGAGAAUUGAUUCAUUGACAGAUCAAUUAGUGUCGCAGCCUUUAGAUUUCCAAUUUCUGGAGGUAAAGAACCAACCAUGUUGUUUGACGAUAAGUCAAGAAGCACUAAAUCUUUAAGAUUCCCCAAGCUUGUUGGUAUAUUGGAACUCAAUUUAUUGGAAGCAAGAUAUAUCAAUCUAAGGGAAGUAACGUUCCCAAACAAUUAGGAAGAGAUCCUGAAAGUUGAUUUUGACCCAAGUCAAUAGCACCCAAAUGAUUCAGUUUACAUAUAUGAUCUCCAAUAAAUCCUGUAAGUUUGUUGUACUGAAAAUACAUACGCUGAAGGUUUCUCAAGUUGUGAGUUGAUGUUGGAAUCGAUCCAAUUAAGUUAUUAUCAGAAAGAUCAAGGUCUAAUAAGCUGCUUAAGUUUCCAACUUCAUUUGGAAUCUGGCCGUUAAUCUUGCUAUCAGUGGCAUAAAGCUUUACAAGAGAUUUGGAGAAGUUCCCUACGGAGACCGGAAGCAUUCCAUUUAGAGGGUUGAAUGAUAGAUCAAGAAGUCUUAAAUUUCUGCAAUUGGUUAAGGAAGUGAGGAAGCUUAAAAAUGAAUCACUGGUUAAAUUAUUUUCUGGCAAAUUUAGGUUCUGUAGAUGAGUCAAAUAUCCAAGAGAAUUGGGAAUCAGGCCUGUGAGUUUGUUACCUGAAAGCUCUAGGAUAGUAAGCUUUGAGCAAUUGGAAAUAGAAUGAGGAAUAGUCCCAACAAGAUUGGUCAAGUCACUGAUAUAAAGCUCUUCAAUGUUGGGUAAGGUAGAACCUAUGUUUGGUGGGAUGGUUCCUGAUAGAUUAUUCAAUGAAAGAGCCAUUGCUCUCAUCCCUGAUAUAUUGAAGAUCUCCAUUGGAAGUGAACCACUAAAACUAUUAAACCCAAGAGCAAGUUCCUCCAACUCAACCAGAUUUCUUAUCUCUUUGGGUAUUUCACCUGUCAACACAUGAUCAAUGAAUUUAGCUAGCUAGUUCAUUAAUACAGAUUGCUAUAUAUCACUUUGAAUACGUACCAGUAAACCUAUUGUUGUUAAGAUAUAAAACUUGUAUCUUGGUUAAGUUGCCAAUCUCCCGUGGUAAGGAUCCCUUGAGAUUGUUCCCCCUUAGUGAAACAAAUUGCAAUGAGGAGAUUUGAAUAUAGAGAUUGGGAUAGAGCCGGUAAUCUGGUUUACAUCCACGGCUAAUUCCACCAAAUUAACAAGAUUUCCGAUUUCUUGUGGAAUUAUACCUGCAUUUAAUGUGUAAUAAAAAAAGAUCUGAGGUUAUUAGGUACAAUACAUUACUAGCAUUCGUAAAAUAAAACAUAUAUACCUGUGAAAUGGUUAGAUCCGAGAUACAAUAUCUGCAAGUUACUCAAUCUUCCAAUUUCACUGUGUAUUGGUCCAUCAAAAUCAUUUACAGAUAGAGACAAUAUUUGAAGUUGUGAACAAUUUGACAAGCUUAUAGGCAUAUGACCAUGAAGCUUGUUCAUUGAUAGAUGAAGCUCUUUGAGUAUUGGAAGACGAUUGCAUAAAUCAUUGGGAAGCUUUCCUGAUACGCUAUUGUUUGAAAAUGCGAUGACUUGGAUACUAGAAAUAUUGAAAAUUGUGAAUGGUAUAGAACCUGUAAGCUGAUUAUGUUCCAUGGACAACACAUUCAGGUUGUGAAGAUUGCCAAUCUCUUCUGGAAUAGAACCUAUGAAUUUGUUUCUACCCAAGAUUAAAACUCUCAAGUUUUCAAGACUUCCAAUUGCUUUUGGGAUUUGACCCUCUAUUGAAUUGAAUCUCAGAUUCAAAGUUUCAAGUGUGGAAAUAUUAGAAAAUGAACAAGGGAUGGAACCAGUGAAUCUAUUAUUUCCAAGAUUUAAAACUUCAAGUUUGUGUAAGAACCCAAACCAAGAAGGAACCUCCCCUCUAAAGUUGUUCAAACUUAAAUCAAGAUACUUAAGCCGACGCAAGUGUGCUAUUUCUUGAGGCAAAUUUCCAUGGAAAUUGUUGCUUCUCAAGACAAGAGAAACAAGAAAUGUGAGGUUUCCUAAAUCACGGGGGAUCCUUCCUGUAAGAGCCAUGUUGGAAAGAUUCAAGGACUUCACUCAAGACAAGAGAAACAAGAAAUGUGAGGUUUCCUAAAUCACGGGGGAUCCUUCCUGUAAGAGCCAUGCUGGAAAGAUUCAAGGACUUCACUCUGUGAUGACGAGAGUCACAUGUGAUUCCUACCCAAUGGCAAACAGAAGUAGUGGGAGACCAACUAUCAUCCAAGAAAUGAAAGGGGUCCGAAAUAAUUUGAGAUUUUAAAGAAAAAAGAGUUAACUGAUCCGUAGAAACAUUGGCAAGAGUCAUGACUGAACUAGGCAUAACAAAGUGAAACAACAAGAGUAGUGUUAAAAGAAAAGAUCUCAAGGCUUUCUCCAUAUGUAAAAUUAUUAGUAGUAGGAAAAUGGUAUUACUAGCAGACUGUUCUUUUGAAUCUUUUUUAAAAGGGGAAAAGGAAAAACAUAUCAGCAUUAAUGCAACUAAAUUAUUGUUUCAAUGAAACAAAAAAAAUGUGUCUUUUAUUGGUUGUUGUGAGUUUGAUAUCAAGUGUUGAAACCACUCAUUUUAAAUAAAUAGAUAAAUUUUCCAAGUUAUGUGGGGCAUAAAUUUGACUCAUGUCGUCAAUAUGGUAGACUGAUAAUAAUUGGUGCAAUAUCAUGUUAAACUAUUGGUGCUGUAUCAUGGUAGACGGAAAAUUCUUAUCUAUGUUGUGAAAAUUCACAAAAUUUCACUUAAUUUGUUAAAAGUUUGGUUUAUCUAUGUCAUUGUUGUUAAAGAAAAAGCUCAUUAAUGCCAUUUUUUAACUCCAAUUUUGCAAAACCAUUUUUUACACCGCAAACAAGGUUUAACACUUUUUAAUUGAAGUUUUUGGAUCAAAUGUACACUUUUUGCUUAUUUUUCUUUAAGAACACCAAAAACACAUGAAGAACAUACUUCCUCUGUCACAAUUCAUGUGACACAUUUCGAAUUUCGAGAUUCAAACAACUCUAUCUUUGACCGUAAAUUUUUCAUAUAUCUUUUAAAUAUUUUGAAUUAUCAAUUAGUGAGACUUAUAGUACUUUUAAUGUAGUUUAUAAAUAUAUAAAUUUCAUUUUAAAAAAAUUGAAGAUUUCAUGUGCAAAUUCUCAGUCAAACUUAAACUGUUUGACUCUUGAAAAGCAAAAUGUGUCACAUAAAUUGGGACAGAGGGAGUAAAUAACUUCCAAAUUUUCAACAUCUUCAAUUAUUCACGAAAUCAUCUCAAAUUUCGGCGCGCAUAGUUUGUUACGUCAGUUCCAAAAGGAUAAGUUGGGUUGGAAUUGAUAAAGUUCCAUGGAGUUCAUGAUUGCACAAAAGGACUAGUUAAAGUAGUGGUUGAGGCGCGUAGAGGCACUUCUACGACGAUUGUUGUACAUCCACCUUACUGACUCAUAUAUGUUUGAGGCUGGUGAAAGGAAAUGCGGAUUGAUUUCACAUAAUGGAAAGAUGGGACUUAAGAAUAUCUCUCUCCACUGGGACAUAUAAUGGAAAAGGACCUAUCACAUAAUGGAAAGAUGGUAUUACUAGUAACAUGUGUUUAGGAGACUUUUCUUUUGAAGCUUUUUAAAAAGGGGAAACGGAAAAACAUAUCAGCAACUAAAUUAUUGUUUCAAUGAAACAAAAAAAAUGUGUCUUUUAUUGGUUGUUGUGAGUUUGAUAUCAAGUGUUGAAACCACUCAUUUUAAAUAAAUAGAUAAAUUUUCCAAGUUAUGUGGGGCAUAAAUUUAACUCAUGUCGUUAAUAUGGUAGACUGAUAAUAAUUGAUGCAAUAUCAUGUUAAAUUAUUGGUGCUGUAUCAUGGUAGACGGAUAAAUCUUAUCUGUGUUGUGAAAAUUCACAAAAUUUUACCACACAAGCAAAACUUUCCAUUGUUUUUCACUUAAUUUGUUAAAAGUUUGGCUCAUUUAUGUCAUUGUUGUUAAAGAAAAAGUUCAUCCAUGCCAUUUUUUAACUCCAAUUUUGCAAAAUCAUUUUUUACACCGCAAACAAGAUUUAACACUUUUUAAUUAAAGUUUUUGAAUCAAAUGUACACUUUUUGCUUAUUUUUCUUUAAGAACACCAAGAACACAUGAAGAACAUAAAUAACUUCCAAAAUUUCAACAUCUUCAAUUAUUCAUGAAAUCAUCUCAAAUUUCGGCUACAUCAUUAAUUUCUUUUUUAAAAAACUAAAAAUCUAAAAUCAUUUGUAGAGUUUGAAAAAUUCACCCACAUUAAAAAAAAAUCCAAAAAAUGAAAAUCAAUCCCAAAAUUUCAAAAUUUUGUUUUGUUUCGUGUUUUUGUACUUGUUUUUUACAUUAGAUCCUUGUUGCCUAGUGUUUUUUGAGUCUAUGUUCAAAUUUUCAAAUGAUUUGAAGUGUGGAGAAAAUUCUAUCAUUAAAGAAUGUUGAAAUUUUGAAUAAAUUUCAAGUGGGUCUUGUUGAGUUAGGUUGAAUUCGAGCUCAAAAGAUAUUGAGUUUUGGGGUGUACAAAAUCGAACCGAAAACCGAACCAAACCGCAAAUCGAGUCAACCCGAAAAAAAACAAACCCGACUAGUGGUUUGGUAUUGAAAAAAAAAACCCGACUAUAUUUGGGUUGGUUUGGUUUUAACUAAAAAAAACCAAACCGAGACCAAACCAACCCGACAUUAUAUAUAUAAUUUUAAAAUUUUAUUUUAUACAUAAAAAUAUUUACUUUGAUAUAAUUUUUAAAUAUUUCUUAUACUUUUUCAUAGUUUUUAUCUUUUAAUAUAUUAUUUCAAGUUUAAAACUUAGAAUUCGGAAUGGUCCUAUAAAGAUUAUAGUUCAUAGAUGUUGAUAAUUAUAAUAAAACUUAAAUCAAAAUCAAAUUAUUUAGUCAUGUAACUAAUACUUAUUAAACUUAUUUUAGCAUGAUUUAGUACUUUCAAAUUAUGAUCAUUUUCAUUAUGACUUGUUAAUUUGCAAUAUUUGUUUUACGCGAUUUCAUUAUUAUUACUAUUUUUGUUGGAUAUUUUAGUGUCAUUAAUCAUAUCAUAUUGUGUUAUUUUUUUAAGAAAUACCUUAGAUAUUUGUAUUUUGGUAGGACUAAAAAAUAUUUGAAGUACAAGUAAAUUAUAUAUUUGUAUGAAUAUUUACCGGAAAAACCCGAAACAACCCCAAAAACUAAAAAAAAUAUGAAAAAACCCGAGGUUGAAAAGCCCAAGUUUUAUUGGUUUGGUUUAUAAAUUUUAAAAUCCGACACAAUUGGUUUGGUUUGAUAUUUGAAAAACCCGAACUAACCCGGCCAUGUACACCCCUAAGUUUUGGUAUCUAGCUCGGAGGGAAACUACUCUUGAAAUUUGAGGCAAUUUCGUGAAGAAUUGACAAGUUUGAAAUUUGGAAAUUGUUAAUGUUCUUUAUGUGUUCUUAAGGAAGUAGAAGCAAAAAAUAUACCUUUGAUCCAGAAACACCAAUCAAAAAGUGUUAAACCUUGUUUUGGGGUAUCAAAAAUGGUUUUGCAAAAUCAAAGUUAAAAAAAAUGGACAAUGACAUAUAUGAGCCAAACUUUUAACAGAUGACAUAAAUGAGUUUUUUCUAAAAUUUCGAUGACAUAUUUGAGCCUUUUCCUUUUUUGUAUGUUGUUAAAUUAUCUUUCCUUAUUUCUCUCAAUAAUCUUCUCUUAUGUAAUAUUAAAAUGUAACACUAAAGUACGCUAUGAACUAAGGGUCUAUUAUUACAAGGUAAGGGGUAAGGAUGCAUACAUAUCGUAUUUCUAAGACUUUACUUAUAAAAGGACCCUAAAAACCACCGAGAAAAAACAAUAUAAAGAUCGGAAAUGAUUUCAUUUUUUAAGAACCAAAUUUAAGGAAAGGACAUGAUCGGAAAUGAUUUCAUUUUUAAGGGAUUUAUUGUAAAAAGAAAACAAUAAAUUGGUGUCUGAUGAUUUGAACAAAUUGGUAAGGGUUAUGUGAAUAAUUAUGUGAACAAACUGUAGUACCGAUACAUAAAAAUAUUGUAAAAAAAUUUGCUGUGUUCUUUAUUAUGGACGAUACAUUAGUGUGAAUAAUUAUGUGACAAGUUGUGAAACACUGUAACAUUAUAUAUUUGAAAUGCUUUUGUUAUAUGCCUUAUUCUGAUGAAUUUUUUUUGGCAGCUAUGUGAUAGUGUGCUUCAGUGAUGAAUGUGGCUGGUGUUUAAAGUCUUCUUGCAGAAAGAAAUUCGAUGUAUUCAAAGUGAGAUACUUCAAUAGUGAACAUACAUGUCCGAUGCGGGAUAGGAUACUAACAAAAGUACAAGCAACAAUUGGAUUUAUUAGUGGUGUGACUGCCCCUAAGUUGGUAAAUCAUAAACGAAUUCAUACGCCGAAAGAUGUAAUUGAAGAUAUUCGAGAAUUAUAUGGGUUGAAAUAUCAUACCAACAAGCAUGACGUGCUAAGGAACGUGCACUAGAGAUACUAAAGGGUAAACCAUUAGAUGGAUACAAGCAGAUGCCGAGAUACAUAAGGAUGCUAAAUAAAGUGUAUCCAAAUUCAUAUAUAAGGAUGCAAAAGAUGGAAGAUAAUCAAUUCAUGUAUCUUUUCAUAACCCUAAGGCCAUUGAUGAGAGGGUUCGACUACUGCAGACCUGUAGUUGUAGUGGACGGUGCACAUCUUGGCAGGGCUUACAAAGGUACUUUUGUAUCAGCUAGCACACUCGAUGGUGCAGGUUUGACUGUUGCAAUACUGAUGUAAUUUUGAACUUGUUUUAUAUGUAUAAUCAAUGUAUCUUAAUGUAAUCGUUAUGUAUCAAUAAGUUAAAUGUGUGUUGCUUUGUGAUUAGGUUGCAUAUUGUCGUUGGCAUAUGGUGUUGUAGACACUGAAAAUGACUGUUCGUGGACAUGGUUCUUCGAACAAUUCAAAAAUGCAUUUGGCGAGCGUGAAAAUAUGUGUAUUGUAUCAGAUAGAAAUGAAAGUAUUAUGAAGAGUGUAAGCAUUGUGUUCCCAAAUGUACCUCAUUGUGCAUGCAUAUGGCAUCUUUGGAAGAAUGUCUGUUCAAACUUCAAAAGAAAUAAAAACACACUAACUGAUAUAUUUUACUCAAUGGCAAAGGCAUACAUAAAGGAGGAUUUUGAUAAAUUAAUGGCUAAGGUGGUGAAAGUUGAUCAUAGGGUGAAGGAUUACCUUGAGGAUGCUGGGUAUGAGAAGUGGUCAAGAGUUCAUUCAAUAGUAAACAGAGGUAGAAUGAUGACUUCGAACAUCGCAGAGUGUAUCAAUGGUUGCCUUGUUGAUGCACGUCGGUUAACUAUAAUAGACUUCUUGGAGGAAGCUAGACUUCUAUUUAUUAGUUGAAACUGUAAAAAUAGAAAAAUAGCGUUAUAUACAAAGGACACAUUGGGCCGAAGAUUUGAGGAGGUAUUGAUUGUAAACGCAUCUAAAAGUUCAAAGAUGAAGGUAUUUAUCAAUAUCCAUAACUUUCUGUUUUAUGUAUCAGAAACUCGGAUCAUUUCACUAUUAAGCAUUGCUUUGGAAAUGAUAUAAAAAUGGAAUAUCAUGUAAUGUAUCACUAACUUAUUAGUGUUUUCAGGUUGUUCCAUCAUCUGAAUAUAUUUUCUCAGGUUAUGAAGCCGGAAGAAGAUACACUGUAUGCCUUGAGCGAAAAUCAUGUACUUGUGGAAGAUUUCAACAAGAUGAGAUACCUUGUGCACACACAAUUGCAGUUUUAAAGCACAAGAAUGUUAAGGAUAUGCAUCCAUAUUGCUCUGAUUACUACAAGCCUGAUGCAUUAGCAAAAACCUACGAGGUUGCAAUGGUUCCAAUGCCGGAUAAGGAGGAUUGGACAGUUCCAGACUAUGUUUUAGAUGAAAUUGUUUUGCCACCUAGGUAUAGAAGGUUGGUUGGACGACCAAGGAAACGAAGAAAGAAAAAUGCGGAUAAGAAGAUAACAGUGAGCAAGAAUUCUUGUGGGCAAUGUGGACAAGAAGGUCACAACAGGAAAACUUGUACUUUCUUCCCGAAAGAUAAGUGAAAUAAUAUUUUUAACUUGCAGUUACUUUUAAAUUGUACUUUCUUCCCAACAAGACAUUUGUGUUCAUGCUCAAUAAAUUGCACUUACAUAUAUUUUUCACUUUAGUAUUUGGAUUAAAUAAAGUGUAUUGUUUACACAAUUUAUUUUGUUGUUCAAACUAAAUAAUUUGUUGAGAAUUUUGUGUCAAUCUUACAUUGAAUAUAAAUUUAUUCUUAUACUGUUGAAUAAAUAAAUAAAUCUGAAUGUAUAAACUUUGAAAAAGGAGAUGAGCAAUCCACUAUAAAUAUGAGAGUACAAAAUAUAGAGAGAAACAACCUCAACCAAUUUACUCGGAAUACAAGGAGGUACACAAAAUACUCCUCCAUAAGUUAGAAGGAACAAACCUAUAUUUAUAGAGUCCUAAAACCUUUCCUACAAGAAAAAGACUAGUUAAAAUAUUAAAGCAUUUUCCUAAAAGGGAAACCUAUUUAUGGUAAGAAAUCAGGGCAGAUAAACCCCAACAAAGUUCAGGUUCUAAGGAUUGCCGAUCCUUUCUGGAAUGUUUCCUUGAAGUAAAUUGGCUGAUAUUUCUAAAGUCUCCAACCUUGAGGCAUUCGAGAGUGACGGAGGAAUGGAACCAGUGAAACUAUUAUUUUCAAGAUUUAGAACUUGAAGUUGGUAUAAAUACCCAAGCCAAGAAGGAAUUUCCCCUCUAAAGUUGUUGAAGCUUAAAUCAAGAAACUUUAGCCGACGCAAGCGUGCCAUUUCUUGAGGCAAAUUUCCAUGCAAAUUGUUGCCACUCAAGUCAAGAGAAAUAAGAAAUGUGAGGUUUCCAACAUCACGGGGAAUCUUCCCUGUAAGAACCAUGUUGGAAAGAUUCAAGGACUUCACUCCCUAGUGACGAGAGCUACAAGUGACUCCUACCCAAUGGCAAAUCGAAGUAGUGGGAGACCAACUUUCAUCCAAAUUGUGAAAGGGGUCCGAAAUGAUUUGAGAUUUUAAAGAAAGAAGAGAUAAUUGAUCAGUGGUAAUAUUGGUUUGGGUCACGGCUGAACUAAUCAUAACAUUGUGAAGCAACAAGAGAACAGAGAUGAUUGUUUUCUCCAUAAUUUCAUAAAUUAGUAGGAAAAUGGUAUGGCUAUUAGUAACUUAUUUUGAAACUUAUAUAGUGAAUUUUUUUUUUUUGGAGACUUUUCUUUUAAAUCAUUUUUAGGAUUAACUUUUCUUCACCAACAAGGGUUGUGAAGUGGUUAGUACUCCAUUCUUAACCAGAGGUUUUGGGUUUGAGUCUCCCUAGUACGAAGUUGCCUUUGUUACGGAGUGCUUGCCCCCCUCUCCCCCAACGUGGAACUUCCUGGGAUGAAUUUGGAGCGGCUCUAAUGUCGGUACCGAACACUGGGUAGAAAACCAAAAACAAUAAAAACCUUUCUUCAUUUAUGUGGGCCCAAGGUCUUGACCAAUUGUAACUGUCACGCCCCGAGCCUACACCCUGGGCGGGACCGGCACUCGGAGACCAUUGCUGGCCCCAAGCGAACCCUUGGCCUGGCUUUCUUAACUCAGCGGAAACCUACUCAACAGAAUAACUCAAUGCCAUGCAAAGACAUAAACAACUUAAAUGAUACACAUCUGGCCAAAAAGGCAACUCGAGUCUCAAAAUAGAAUAUUUACAUAUAUACAUAGAUAAAAGACUCAAAACUAACUGACUGACUGUCUAUGAAGCCUCUAACAUACUGAGAUGGAUGUUGGGACAGACUCCGCAACAUCCUAAUAACACAAAACAUAAAAGAUCAAAAUAUUUGAGUCCUCCGGAAAGCAAGGAGGCUCACCACUGACUCUGGAGUGCUCAACUGGAUCAACGGCGUGCUGAAUGCUGAUCCUGGGUACCUGCGUCUGCAUCAUAAAACGAUGCAGGCCAACUGGCAUCAGUACAUGGAAUGUACGAGUAUGCGAGCUGGAAAGCUAAACCACAACUUAAGCUUGAAAAGAGUACAAGAGAACACUUACCUUGGCUCUAUUCAACUCAUGAAUAACUGAACUCAAUAUAUAAAGCAAUAAGACACAUGCGAUAUAUAAAGCUUGUAAAACUCUUAAAACAUGACGUAAAAAUCAUAUUUAUAAUAUCAUGAAAAGAUCAUGCUUCUGUGGUGAUACAACGUUUUACCUCACGUUGCCCAAGGACCAUCCUAUACCUUGCCAUCGAUAUAGGACCUUACUUUAACUUUUGCUUAGUGGAUCCACUAGCCUAAUCUUACGUGAUCAUCUAAAAAGAAUGAUACGUCAAGUCCCAUGUUGGCGCAUGGUUCUUAUGGAGAGUUGAGUUUAAUAUGAACUCGCGUCCCCAAAUCGGUGCUCGAUACUACUUCUAAAAUACUUUAGCUCAUAAGUGUUUUAAACACAUCUUUCUUUAGUUGAGAUAAUUACUCAAAACUUAGCCCGAAGGCACUUGAAAACUCUUUCUAAAUAGAACAAGUCAAAACCACAUUUUUUUUUAAUAUGAUCAUUGAUGACUCGGGAUAUUCAUACUGCUUAAACAUUGAUGGUAUAUCUAGAGACCAUACUGUUUCAACAUUGAUGACAUACUCGAUUUGUCAUAUCUAAUCAUAUUUUAGAAACUCUUUUGAAAAACUCAUCUUUUCUUUUUAAAAGAGAUAGUGCUCAAAACUCUUUUGGAAAUCUCAGUUUCCUCUCGUCUUAAAUGUGAAAACAUUUAUAAACUUCCUUCGGAAAUACUUAGUUCCCUAAUUACUUUUGAGAAAUGAACUCAACUCUUGACUCUUGACUUAACUCGAUACUCUUUACUCGACUUGAAACUUAUAUACUUAACUUGGAACUUGAGCCUUAGAAUGAAGUUAAAAUGUUCAAUGAAGACUCUUGAAAAGCUUUAAAGACUUGCUUGGACUUACUUAACUUCUAAGCUUGACUUCACUUGAAUCGGAAACUAACUUCACUUGACUUGGAAACUAACUUCACUUGAAUUGAAUUAUGGAUUCAAGGACUUGAUUGGUGUUUGGAAGGACCUCAUGAUGUUUAGGAAUGAUUUAGGAAUGAUCUGGAACAGCCAAACCUAAGAAAAUCUUCGAACAUAAAUUCUGAAAACAGUGGAGUCCGCGUUCUGUCCGCGACGCAGAGAAGAUUUUGUUUACAGAGGGAACAAGUCCGCGACGCGGACAUGCUCCUCGCAAGCUGCCCGACUUUCUCCUUCACGUUACCAACUCUAAACCCUCUAACCUCAAAGAUUCCAGCCCCCAAUCACUUAGAAACAUAAAAUCCCUCAACAUUCAAUAGAUUUCAACUCAAAAACACAACUCAAUCAUGUCCCACCACCAACAAUAAUUCCAACAACAACAACUAACAACUUUAACAACAUAACCAAUCCUUUCUUAAUAAAUAGAAGGGGCUAGGUGUGUGGGGGGGAAGGAUCACCCAACACUAAAAGCUCACAUACCUUAAUAGGGAUCACCCCCGACGAAAAUCCACGAUGAUCUUGUUGGAAACUUGUUGAUCGCCUCAAUUUUUCUCUUCUUCUUCUCCUUCUUCUCUUCUUCACUCUCAAGCCCUAGCUUUUACUUUCUUAAAUGGGACAAAAUGAUCUAAAGAUCAGCCCUAUACAACAAUAUAAUCCCAAAAAAAUUGGCUAGGGAAAAGACUAAAAUGCCCUUAAUUUACCGGACGGAUUCCCUGCCAACUGCCCAACUUUCAAUGGCCAUAACUCGCUCAUACGAACUCGGAAUUGAGCAAACUCAGCGGCGUUGGAAAGACCAUUCCACAAGCUUCGCAACCAUAACUGGAAAUACUCCUAAAUCAUCCUGAGCUAGGAUUUACGACUUCUCAAAGUUGGCCAAAAUUCACUGAUUUCCAUACUUAGCAAAAUUUCCAAAACUUUAAAAUUCUUUCCAAAAAAUGAAAAUUUCCAAUUCUAAGCCUCUUCAAUUAUUUCACAUUGCCGGAUGUUACAGUAACAAACCAAAUCAACAAGUCUUGCAAACCAUGAUGGUGGUGUAAACAUGUUUUACACAAAUUCAUGGGAAAAAGAAGUAAAAUUGUCAAUUAGAAUAUAACAGUGAACCUUGACUAAUCUUUUGACGUCCAUAAUUCAGCACAUAUCAGUGACAGAGAGUUGCGUGUGAUUUCAUCUUAUGAUUUCAAACCGUGGGAUGAAAUCCCAAAUUCUCCAAAAAGCUUGAUUUGAGAAUUUCAUAUCAUGAUUUCAUAUUUUUUAAAUACAAACAUCGACCCACAAGUUUAUAUUUUGUAAAAAGAAAAUCCACCAUUUUAUAUCCACAUAUUUUUUUGUGAGAAUACCAAAGGAGCGAUAAAAUAUUCACGAAAUAUAAGCAUGAUGAUAUGAUUAUUAAUAAUAUUGACCAACAAGCGGCUCAAUAAAUAUAGUAAACUACAAGUUUAUAGCUCUUGCUCAGUUUAUUUUUUUAAGAACUAAAAUUCGAUCAAUAAAUAUUGUAUUUUUUUUAGAAUAACUUUGUGAUAAUCUAUUAUACUUUUGUUCUGAACUUUUGCUUAUUUGGUAAGAUGGUAUAAAGAAUUGAGACAAUUUUGAUAGUUUUUAAUUACAGCUUAUAAAGCUAUUGUAUUUAUGAGCAAAAAUACAACUUAAAAGAUCCAAAUUGCAUGUCGAAACAAAAACUUCAACUGCAUCUCAUAUGACUUCAUAUCAUAUGAUUAUAUCAUCUCACAUGGCUAAACGAACCCUUAAAUUUCAGUCGAACCAAUGAAUAUCCUUCAACUGCUCUAAACAUAAUUGUGUAUUUUGCUUGUGUGGGUAAGUCAAGAAUUCAACUUCUUGACAUUCUCUUGGUGUGUGUCUCACACAAUUGAAAAUGAGAAUGCAAUAGUCCAUCAAUUGUCUCACAAAAUAACACCUGGAAACAUUAAGUCAAUAAGAAUUGAUGGUGUAUGUACCACAAAUUAUAGUAAAUUAUAGUUGAAAAUAAAAUGAAUAGUAUCUCGCUCUCUUUAUGGAGAUUUAAACCCACUGCGACAUAAACUACACCGAUCCAACAGUAUAACUCUUGACUUUCUCCCUCCAUGAUACAAUAACAUAACAACGUCAUAUAAUUCAAACUCCAGAUUAGUUGAAGAGUCCAAAACUCCACAAAAGAACGUACACCUUCCUUCAAUAUAAAAUUAAUCUCUUUUGUAUAGUGAAUUAGUUGAAGAGUUAGAAUAUUCUUCUUUGUCUCAACUCUCUCCUUCAGUACUCUAACCUCAACCUCAACGUACAAACACAUUAUACUACUUCUCAUCUUUGUCCUAAAUACAAUGUAGGACCUCCACUAUUUUACAGGUGAAGAAUUCUUUCUUGCAAUACAUAGGAAGAAUGUGGGUAAAUGAAUAGAGGAAAUUAUGCCUUAAAAGUUACAUGAGUAAAUUAUGGGUGAAAUAAUGUGUUAGCGAUUACAAUGGUUUUAAGGCAAAUAAAGACCACAUUAUGCUACAAAAAACAUUGGAAAUUUGAAGCAUCAAAAGAUACUUAACUAUGCAGCACUUCUUUACCCCUCAAUAUCAAACACUUCAAUUGUAUGAUAAUGAAGCCUACUUGUUUGAAUGCUUUCGAUAUCAUUUCUCUACUCCUAGUUUUGAUCUCUCUAUCUUGUUCCAGAAAGAUAAGAGCCGUAUAGGUCGAUUUAAGUUAACAGAGUUUUGGAAAACAUAGUUUGUUAUUUGCCUUUCUCAAUUAUAUUAAAUAGGUGUUUACUCUACUUUGAGACAUCAUAAAAGAAGAUACACAUCUUAGAUUUAUUUGUUGAUAAUCAGGCUAUCCUCGGAUUCUUCCUUAUUGAUAUUAAUGAGGUGGGCGGGAAGGAUAGUGUCUAAUAUGGAUACAUAUAUUUCCCUUGUACCUGACCUUUCUGAGUUGACACUCACAAGUGAACAAAGAGGUGGAUCAUCUAUGUCAUCUCAAUAUUCAUUUUGUCAGGUACCUGAAUCAAACGAUUUUGAGGAAUUUGCUUUUAACAUUCAUUCUACUGGACCAAAACGAGGACUUUCCGUGCUAGUUGUCAGUUUGAUAUCCAAGUGUUGAAACCACUCAUUUUAGAUUAGAUAAAUUUUCCAAGUUAUGUGCGGCAUGAAUAUGACUGAUGUCGUCAAUGCAAUUAUUAAUAACAGCCCUCGAAGACUUGAGCAAGUGUGGAAGGGAAAUUGUGAGAUUUAUUGAAACCAACCAGUAUUCCAAAACAGAAUCAUGCACAAAUCAAGUGUGCUAAAAUAAAAACCAAAAAAAAAACAAUCCUUACAUGAAUCCAACAAUUUAGUAAACAUUUGCAACAAAUAAGUGAUUCCGAGAACGUUGAUCAGCAUGCAAGAAGUUGAAUCUUGAUCUUUUGUAGCAUCCCUACAACAUCUUUCAUGUUUGUCCUUCUUGCCGGAGAUUCAGCACAACAAUCUAAUGCCACUUUCAUGAUUGAAGACACAACAUCUAGCUCCUUCUGUAAGCGAUUAUCCAUUGAUGUUACCAAGUUGGCAUCUACAACAUCCAUUACUGCCUCUGGGAAUGAAUAACUAACCCAUUGCUUCAAGCUAAGAUCUCCCUCAAACUCAUUAGGCUUUCUCCUAGUAAACAUCUCCAACAACAUGAUCCCGUAACUAUAGACAUCACAUUUUAUAGACACCAAUCCAUCCAGUCCGUACUCUAUAAACAAACAAUUAGUUUGAAGAUUUAACAUAAUUUCUUGGUGAAAAAGAAAAAGAAAGGAAAAAUCAGCAAAACAAAGAGACGUACCUGGUGCAAUAUAACCCAAUGUUGCUAAGGUUUUAGUAUAUAAAUCACUCUCAUCUUCACCAAGCAGUUUUGAAAUACCAAAGUCGCUUAGGUGGGCAACCAUAUCCUCAUCCAGCAAGACGUUACUAGGCUUCAGAUCACAAUGAAUCACAGGUAACGAGCACCCAUGAUGGAGAUAUUCCAAUGCACAUGCCACAUCUAUCAUAAUGCUUAGUCUCUGCCUGAUGUCUAGGAAGUAGUUGUGCGAAUACAAAUAUUUGUCAAGACUUCCAUUAGGCAUAUACUCGAGCACUAAAGCCUUAAAAUCAAGGUUGGAACAACUAGUGAUGACUUUCACAAGAUUCCUAUGGCAAAGGCUGCGCAAAACUUCACAUUCUAUAUCAAAACUCUUGAAUGCCGCUUCCAGUUGCAGAUUGAACACUUUAACUGCAAUGGCAGUCCCACUUGCAAUAUGAGUUCCACUUCUGAGAAUGCCUUUGUAGACAGAGCCAAAACUUCCAGAACCAAUCAGAUUACUCUCGCUAAGAGAAUCAGUUGCUUGGAGCAGUUCAUAGUAUGAAAUUCUUUCUGUUGUUGCCAUAGACAAUGAAUCAGCUUGUUGAGGAGCUCUUUUACCUCUUCUAUACCUUAUCCACAGGAACAC
rnacentral:lncRNA from 1 species